rnacentral:rRNA from 1 species
UGUAAGCGUAUACCAAAGUUGUUGCAGUUAAAGCGCUCGUAGUCGGAAUUUGGCAGUUCCGGAUGUGUGCACGUCGUGUGCGCACUUCGCGGGGAUUGCUUUUGUGGUCUUGCGUAGGAUGAGGCACUUUUAUUAGUGAACGUCCUCACGCAACCACUUUUUACUGUGAGAAAAUCAGAGUGCUCAAAGCAGGCAUUUGCCGUGAAUGUAUUAGCAUGGAAUAAUAGAAUAGGACUUGGUUCUAUUUUGUUGGUUUGUUGGGACUGAGUAAUGAUUAAGAGGGACAGUUGGGGGCAUUUGUAUUUCGGUGCUAGAGGUGAAAUUCUUAGAUUACCGAAAGACAAACUGCUGCGAAAGCGUCUGCCAAGGAUGUAUUCAUUGA